UGGCGUUCAGUUGGUUCACGCUUAGUUCCAGCCAGCAAACACAUCGUGUGCGGACGGUUGAUGCCCUGCGUGUCUGGAACUGAAACGCCUCUCUUGCCUAUGCGCGGAGGUAGCAGGCUGGUGGCUCCGGGCUGGGUUCUGUCCAUAGAUGUGUUGUGUUUGAGCCAUACGCGUUGCCGAAGAAAGAGGAAGGAAUUGAUGGCCAGCCCUUAAAAAUCAGGAGAUCGCUCACAUGUCUCAGAUUUCUGGUUCUCUUGAAAAAUGACAAACUCUGGUAAUUCUGAGGCCUUGUUUCCUACAAGGUGGCGGGGUGGGGCAGGGGGUGGGCGCCACUCCCCCCACCAGCCACGUCUCGGAUUCCUGUUUCCCACUUGGGCCGUUGACAUUUGAGUCUGCAGCCCCUUCCUUGGAGACACCAUUUGUGUGUGUUCGCGUUUCAUCCGGACUUUGAAAUCUUUGCCCCAUUCCUCCAUCGAUUCCUUCCUCAGUCGCUCUGCACCAGCUCUGUCCGGCUCCGCACGAGGCUCCGGGGAACUAGCGUUGAACUCAGCAGACAUCAGUGCACCCAGGCCCUGGCCCUGGCAGUGUGGGGAGCACCGGAGAGAUGGUUUGUCCAGCAUCUCCUAAGGGGCCUGGACUUGUUCUGGUCCUUGGAAUACAACCCACCACCCCACCCCCCUCCAGGGCCUCACCUCCUAACUGGGCAGAUACUCAGAAUAGACACCGUGAGAACGUAGACUGUCACCGAACCCCCCGGCCAGUUCGACAGGCUCCCUGUGACCCCGAACUGCCCGCUGGGGCUGAUGUGGUACACGCUCCCCGGUGCACCGCCUGAGGACAGAAUAAAUACGGCGUCUCAGACUCCAGUGUAUGUUUUUCAGAUGUGUGGAGAGGCUUUUGUUGUAAAUUAAAAAGCAACAUUUAUCCCGACUGUGUGCGCGGUAACUUUUCGUCGUUGAGCUUUUUCCUCAGAACAGCGGAAAAGUACGAGUGCCGUCCCACGAGGCCGUAGCAAGUUCUUGUGGAUCAGCACUCACUGGGUUUGGGUCAAUUUUAAACUUCUUUCAGAUUUUACACUUCCUCCUCCUCCCCUCCCCCCCUUAACAGUGUUUGUGGUCAAGAUGAAUCCAGUCAACGCAUACAACAUUUUUGUGGCUCCGGGUAGGCCUUCAUUCACUCACACGUGCAACUUACCCAGUCUGUCCUUUGUAGGCAAACGCUGUGAUGCCUCACAGCACGGGGUCCGAAGAAGACCGGCUCUCCCAGGGUCCUGGUCCAAGAGUAACAUGAAAAUGGUCUUGAACAUGUCUGCAGCGUCCUGUCAUUCUGAGAAUAUGCAUCGAGAGACAGCCUCCUUUCACUCCACCCGCGGGGCCGUCCUGGGGGCUGGGUCAGGGCUCAUUCUCCCUAUUUUGCGCCUGAGGACAACUAAGAUCCAGGAAGGUGUGGGGGACCGACCAGGCGGUCUCCAGCUCCCUGCCCGGCCACCGUUCCGCCUUCACAGAGCACCGCUUAGAGCCUCCCGUGGUGCUGGGCACACAGUAGCUUCAUCUUGAUUCUUGCUCAUGUUUCUGUUUCUGGUCUUCCCUAAGGGGGGA